UACGUAGGUGGCAAGCGUUGUUCGGAAUUAUUGGGCGUAAAGGGCGCGUAGGCGGUCUUGCAAGUCAGCUGUGAAAGCCCGGGGCUCAACCCCGGAGGGUCGGCUGAUACUGCAGGACUGGAGUACGGAAGAGGUAGCUGGAAUUCCCGGUGUAGCGGUGAAAUGCGUAGAUAUCAGGAGGAACACCGGUGGCGAAGGCGGAUCUCUGGGCCUGUUCUGACGCUGAGGCGCGAAAGCUAGGGGAGCGAACAGG
rnacentral:rRNA from 1 species